GUCCUAAUGGGCCCCGCCCACCUGCCGUGGUGGCACGAGCGUGCGGCGAAACCGUUUAACGUUAUUAAAAAAAAACUCGACGGAGGUAGCCGUUGGAAAGUUCUUCUACGACUCAAGACACGAAAAAGGUCGCAGUUGUUGUCGACAAACAGUUAGUACUUGGGUUUGGAGGUUUUUCAGUCUCUAACCGUCAAGUAAACGUUUUUCUUACAUUAAUUUUGUACCAUUUAACUCCGUUUUACAAGUUGGACGCUAAUCGCGAUUAGCGUGUUAGCAUGCUAGCCAAAGUGGGAUAGCUAGCAGUUGACCGGCUAUUGUCUGUAAGUGUUCAUAUUUUAAUUGAGCUUACUGCCAUAGAAUGAUGAAGCAUUUUAGUUUUGGUGAUAUAAGUAACUGAAGACAUGGCUUUUCUAUUUUUUAGGACCAUGAAACUCCGCUUAGAGUGUGAGGCAUGCUACACUUUGGCUGCAACAAACCUGACUCCUCAUCGGACGUUGGCAGCGUCCAGCCAGAGGUCCACCCACAGCCUUUCCCACAAAGUUUCACCAUCUGUUACCUGCUGAAACUUAUUGCAGCACACAUGGAGUUGUGAAUACAAACAUACAAUUUUGAGUCUUUGAGGCUGAAACUUAAAGAGAUAGCCAUCUGAUAUUAAUUUCGGGUUUAAACACACCGCAAC